UAACAAUUAUGCUGUAGAUUGAAGAGGAAUAAGAAGACGAAGAGCAUCGACCAUGGCGAUGCAUAAGCUCAUAACUCGUGGAGCAGCUCGUGCGGUUCCAGGCUCAUCUUCUUCCGCAAAUCCUUUCCGUGCUCUAGGCAACGCUCUUAUCGGUUCUUCUUCCAAGACUUAGGUUUUCGUUUGAUUCACAAGCAGGAAAGAUUGAAGGAGAUACCUCAUCCACGCCCACAGCUUCUGAGCCGUAAUUUUGUCCAAACACUUAUGGCCACAUACUGCACCAGAUCUGAGAGAACGCUCACAAGGAUGAGCUUAAGAAGAACGAAGAUAUCAUUUCAAGGUCAGCCGAAUCAUAUUGAUGUCAGGACAGUAAAUGGAUACGGUCAUGGGGAUGAUUACAGAGGAAACAACGAAUCACAGAUGACUAAAUAUUCUAGGGAGGCAUUAAUUCAGCUCUUAAAUCUGGUGCAGUUGAAAUUACAUCCUAGGUAUAAAUCUCUAUAUACAAGCUACAGUUAUUCAACAGAACAUGAUUUGGAGCACCCUUAGGAUGUGGUCAUCCUGCAUCAAGCUGUAGAACCUUUUUUCCAAUUUUAAGUAACAUUCUGGCACUUAAUUUUAGCAUUCGAGCAUUUUGUUUCCCCUUUUAUUUCAGAUUUUUAUAAAGUAGAGUGUCCGCUUUGACAAGAUAUCAAUUUUUGAUGAAGUUUUCAAGCUAAUGUCACGGUUAGACUUGGUGGUAGACUUUUCUGAAUUCUCCCGCUUCUAUGAUUUUGUUUUCUUUAUGUGCCAUGAAAAUGGUCAGAAAAAUAUCACUGUAAAUAAGGCGAUUACUGCAUGGAGGUUAGUAUUAGCUGGGAGGUUUCGGUUGCUGAAUCAAUGGUGUGAUUUUGUUGAGGUUUGAGACUUGAAGUUUGUUGAUCAAUAACAUAUUUGUCAAGGUAGAUACCCCUGCAUAGAUUAUCCAUGAAUAAAAUUAGCAAGAAUGUGUUCAUUUUAAAACUUUAGAUGCUAAUGUUGGAUAAUUGAGAGGAGUAAUGUGGUAAAUGUUGUACCAAUAUUUCAUAAUUUUCAGCAAUUUAGAACUUCUCCUUUCCAAAGCUUGGCCACUGCGAAUUUUGGUAUUGCCAAUGGAUGCCACAGCUAGUGGAACCCCAACUAUACAAUACCAUAACAUUCUUGACCAGCUAAUUACCACUAUUGUUGUUGCCACUCAUGUACCAACAUUCAAAAUGAGGCAAUGCCAUCGCUUUGGGACCUUAAUCCCCAUAGAACUCUCUUUAGCUGCCAACCCCUCAAUUGUCCUUCAUGUCCUUACUGCAUGCAAUUUGGAUCCUUAAGACCUUGCAAAGCUAGAGGCAAGUGACCUGUUGCUCUAAAGUUUGGCAAUGUAUUGGUCUUUUAAAUCUUAGAAUUGAUAAUGCUGCUGGUUUGAUUUUGGAUGUGUGUGUUGCAGGCAAUAUGCUCAUUUUUCUGGCAGUCUGCAAACUUUGCUCCUGACUUUGAAUUGUCCAUAUCAGAGCUUGCUACUUUGGACAUGUGCCAAAAAAGUGGUAUAUUUAAGCCAAUGACAGUGGAGAAACGUCAAGAAUUAAAGCAAAGAUGUGGGGGUUUCAUGAAAACUGGUCUUGAAGUUCUUGUUGGCUAGAGAGGCAUGUUUCAGAAGGGAGAAAUCACAGGCAAUAGCAGGGCUGGGUCACAGCAUUACUGUAACUUCAAAAUGAGCUAUGUAUUCAUUUAGCUCUAACAACUCAGGACAGCUUGGACAUGGCACCACUGAAGAGGAAAGGAGGCCUCGGCAAAUUAGAUCUUUGCAAGGCAUUCAAAUUGUUCAAGCAGCUGCUGGGGCUGGCAGGACAAUGAUGAUCAGUGAUGCUGGGAAAGUUUAUGCCUUUGGACAGGACUCAAGAUGAUUCUAUGACAUAGUAAUAACAAGAUAGUUCUAUGACAUAGUAUAAA